CAGUAGCCACGGGAACACGAGGGGAGCUGGCGUUAUUCGGAAUUACUGGGCGUAAAGCGCACGUAGGCGGCUUUGUAAGUUAGAGGUGAAAGCCCAGAGCUCAACUCUGGAAUUGCCUUUAAGACUGCAUCGCUUGAAUCCAGGAGAGGUGAGUGGAAUUCCGAGUGUAGAGGUGAAAUUCGUAGAUAUUCGGAAGAACACCAGUGGCGAAGGCGGCUCACUGGACUGGUAUUGACGCUGAGGUGCGAAAGCGUGGGGAGCAAACAGGAUUAGAUACCCGGGUAGUCCCUGUCUCUUAUAC
rnacentral:rRNA from 1 species